UACGUAGGGUGCGAGCGUUAAUCGGAAUUACUGGGCGUAAAGUGUGCGCAGGCGGUCGCUCAAGUCGCGUGUGAAAGCCCCCGGCUCAACUGGGGAGGGUCACGCGAUACUGAUCGACUGGAAGGCAGGAGAGGGUAGUGGAAUUCCCGGUGUAGUGGUGAAAUGCGUAGAUAUCGGGAGGAACACCAGUGGCGAAGGCGACUACCUGGCCUGUUCUUGACGCUGAGGCGCGAAAGCUAGGGGAGCAAACGGG
rnacentral:rRNA from 1 species